rnacentral:rRNA from 1 species
UACAGAGGUCCCGAGCGUUGUUCGGAUUCAUUGGGCGUAAAGGGUGCGUAGGCGGCGGGGCAAGUCUGAUGUGAAAUCCUGAGGCUCAACCUUGGAACUGCAUUGGAUACUGCCUUGCUAGAGAACUGGAGAGGAGACUGGAAUUUACGGUGUAGCAGUGAAAUGCGUAGAGAUCGUAAGGAAGACCAGUGGCGAAGGCGAGUCUCUGGACAGUUACUGACGCUGAGGCACGAAGGCCAGGGGAGCAAACGGG